CUUCCAGCCGGCGAGGUACUUGUACCUCGUCGACUGGAAGGGUGUCCUUCAGCCGGCAAGGUACUUGUACCUCGUCAACCGGAAGGGUGUCCUUCCAGUCGACGAGGUACUUGUACCUCGUUGACCGGAAG
rnacentral:miRNA from 1 species